rnacentral:tRNA from 1 species
GGGGGUUUAGCUCAGCUGGGAGAGCACCUGCUUUGCAAGCAGGGGUCGUCGGUUCGAUCCCGUCAACCUCCACCA